CCGCUGAACGGGGUUUUGAGUGCACGUCAUGUCUGUAUUAAAGGCUGAGCACAGAGGUAUGCAGCCCAUGUGUGGAACAGGAUUUCAUGAUGCUGCUAACAACUCCAUCACAUGGAAAUUAGCCCGCUGCAUCAUUAAUAAUCUUGUGGUUUCAAAUACUGCGUUGCGAGGGCUGAUAAACUCUGUGUACAUUAAAAAUUGCCGCAAAAAGCUCUUAGAAGUCUCAGCAGUCCAAAUUCUCUCACGUUUCAGGGGGUUGGGACUAGAUCUAUAAUCAUCGUUGUUUGUUAGCAGUGGAGGAGCAUUCACGGUUUUAAUGAAACACAGACAUCCUUUGUUGAACUUUAGAUGCACUCAGAAGGGAUGCAGCAUUUCCAUGCAUACCCCUGCACGUGCACAAACACCAUGCAGGACUGAUCGGGGGAGCCUGGCUGAGCCCGACUGAGCGUAAGACUAACACGUCAGGCAGGUGAGGGAAAGCCUCAACACGCAGACCUCAUUCUACCACCAUCCUCUCCACCCAGAACCCUCAUACACACACGCACACACACACACGCUCUAAUGUCCUUGAUAUUUAAUAUAACAAUGAAAUGGAAAAGAACCAAAUAAAACCCCGCCUAUGCAGGGUGAGCUCUAAUGCCCAUCUUCACCUUUCUGUGUGUGUAAACCUUUGUCUUCUCCUCCUACUCCCAUCUUUGAAAGGACGCAGCGUUUGAAGAGGUUAUUUGCCAGGUUAUUUGCGUUUCCAUGCUUGUGUCAGAUCCCAGUCUGAAAUGACUGUGUAGAACAUGCUCAGGUCUGCCGACCUCUACUUCUGUCCCUGAUUUAUCUGUAUAUGACGUUUAUGAUGGGCCUACAUAAAGCAGGCUGAAUGAUGCGUGAAUAUGAUCUCAGCAUCACUCCUUUUCAUCCUCAAGGAAACACUCACUGCAGCUCAAAAACCUUUUUGCACCCUGACAUCCAUUUAGGGAGUAUUUGUAUUCAGCCUUCUUCAGUGAAAAGUCCCAGAAGAGACCCACGCUUCGUUCAUUACUGCUAAUAAUGAGGCAGACAGUGCAUUCUAUCCACAAAUGAAGUUUGUUUAGUCAAUUUAAAUGGAAAAUAGUUUGAAACUCACUGCAGGUUAUGAAUGCAGACGCCAGAGAGUAUUCCAGAGCACAUUUUAACUUAAAAUGGGAAAUUGCUCAACACAUGUAGGGAUUAACGUAACAGCACUAAACUGGCCUGGAUUAUAAUUCUCAUAAUUUGUGAUUGAGUACCACAGGACUCAGUGCUUGGGCAAAUUUUCUUUUGUACAUAUAUUCUUCCCUUUGGAUAAUUCCUUAUAAAAAGGGAAUUUUUUUUAUUUAUGGUGUGAAUUUUUCUUUUGUAUUUCCUUGCUGUGGGACAGAAACUUUGCAUCUUAAAAAAUAUAACUUAAGAAAAUUAUACAUAUCUAACUACUUUAAUGUAAAUUUACACUGCAGUAAUACGUUCUUAAAGACACUUCUAAACACACAGAAUGAUGUGAAGGUUGAUGAAAAGAGUUGAUUAUCAAAAAAACACAAAUAUGACUAACUAUUUUGACAUUUUUUAAAAUAAUAUUGUAUAUUUCAGUAGUUGUUUUUAUUAUUGUACACUAUCAAAAGUUCAUCUAGGAACAAGCAUUGCAAAUCAGCUUAAACUUCAAAUGCUGAAAUCUUCUGUGUCUGUUGACACCAAAUAUCAGCAGGUCCAAUUCAUAUCCACAUGUAAACAAUUAGAUCAAUACAACAGAAUCUGAUUACAUAGUCCAAUUCAAUUACAUACAUUUAAGUUUGAUCUUACUUAUAAUAUUACCCAUGGAGGUAAUUAAGAAAAUUACAUUUGUGUGCGUAAAAAAACAGAUCCAACAAUGAAGCCUAACAUGAGGGUUACAAAAAUUUAAUCCCACCAGCAUAAACACAUAAUUUUAUCUUUGAUUAAUAUUUAAUCCAAAGAAUUACAUAUUUAUAAAAAUUCAUAUAAAGUAGAGAACUUAGUUUUCUAAAAAAAAAAAAAAAUACAUUUUAUGUUCUGCAAGGGUGAACAACAUGGAUAUAAGACAUACAUUUGGUCACAAACAUGAACUCUGUUAUUUUUUUGGAAAUGGAAACAUUUCUGCAUACAAUGUGUUCUGAAUAAUUUGUGUUCGAAACACCAUGCAUUACUGCAAAGGACCACCUUUAUCUAAUUCACAGGGCAGAAAUGUUCACAGUGCAGUUUCUCUGUGAUACUCUCUACUGUAUGGGCAUCUCUCUCUCUACCACAGACAUGUGAUGACCAUGACUGCCAGACUCCACAAAGUUGCUGGUUCCCAGGGGCCCUUAGAGCGCCAGCUUCUCCUGUUCCAGUCUGGCACACAGCGUUCAUGUCCUGUGUAAUUGCAGACCUCAGUCUACGCAGGAGACCUACCUCUGUUAGAAUAGCUUGUUUUUUGUUUUUGUUUUUGUGUUUUUAAGUAAGGCCUAUAUCAACUCCUGCAGUCAGGCAGUGUUUCCCACAACCCCCAGCAUGGCGAGACUGGUGCCUCCCAUUCCCACUGGAGCUCCUGAUUGGAUAAAGAGGAAAUGACAUGAAAGUUCCAGUAUGAAACCUACAAAUAGAUCAAUUGUAGUCCAAAAAUGAGCUACAGUACCCUCAUAAGUCAGAAUAGUUGACACAUGCACAUAUGUUAUGUACAGAAAUACACAUUAUUCUUUUCUCAUACCCCCAACCAAGCCUGGGGCCCACGCUUGGUCACACACCUUGAGCAUGAAAUGGGGGCCCUGUCUGGGAACAGUUAACCGGCCUGCUGCCUGGUGAAAAUGGAAAAAGCAUGGUCCUUGUUAGCGCUGAUGAUAACAAGCUAACGCCCCUGUCAUCCCUGAGGAGCACACUCCUCUGCUGCUGCUGCCAGGAGGCAGGGAAACAUAACUAGGUUUGAGGUCAAUGAUUGAAGCUAAUUUGCUGAUUUUUUCAUUAUUUUAACUACUAGUUGCUAAUUUCUACCUAGGUUUUCAUUUCUUACUGUAACAAAAGCCAAGAUAAACUUAUAUUGACCUGUACUGGCCAGGGAGGGCCGGACAUAUAAUUUAUUUGACCUCCAGUGCAUCUCUCCCCUCCUACCUUCUUUUUCUCCCCAUGUUGGGAAGCAGAGGGAGAUCAAGGGAUGGGUGGGGUGAUGGUUGGUGUGGUGACAGGAGGAGCACAAGGAAAAGAAGAAAAUUCCUGAGUGUUUAAACCCCCUUCACAUGUAUCCUGGAAUCAGAGAAUCCCACUCACUUUCUGCCUACACAAACCCAGCCCCAUCUGACACUCAUGGAAUGCUAACGGCUUUUUUUCCCCUCCUUCUUCACCAAUUUAGGUAAUUGCCGUGGCGGUCACGGUGCUCGGAGCAGAGACCGUGACCCUGGGCGGUACGAAGUGACAGGCUCCGAGUAUCUGAGGCGGCACCCUGUAUUGUGCUGCCGAAACCAGACCUGCCGACAAAUUCAUCACUGACUCCUCCACAGCAGCCCGUAUUUGGCCGGAUUAAUGACUGCUGACUGGUACAUUGUGUCAAAUGGUGGAUACCCAACAUUUCUAUGGAGUCUACAUCAUUCCUUAUGAUCAGUGUUAAAAGGGUUGGUUGUUUAUUUAUAAAUGUCCAUUACAACACUUUCAAAUACUGUACACUCUUGCAAAUGCACCACAGAUUUCUCUGAGUCUCACAUUUCAAAUGAAAAACUUUCAUUUUUACUCUGGUUAAUAGUCCCAAGCUAGUUUCACAUGAUUUAAAUGCAAAAUAUUGGUUCCACUGAUUGGCACAGGUUUAAGAAAUCAACAAUAAUGAAUAAUUAAAGUUACAAUUAAUCAUGAUUUAUUUCCAAAGAUUGAGAUUUUUUUAAAAUUAACAAAUUAAAAUUCUAAAAAAAAGACUUGACAUGUAUCACCAGCAUUGAGACAAAAUUUUCAACAUAAAAAUUUAGCCAAAUUUAGGAAAAACACUGGUGAAAGUUUAAAUGCGUGAAAGACAGGCCCUGAUAAUAUUUUCAGUCAACAUAUUUUCUUAAAAUGUCCUGUGUAGAUGUUUGCUUUGGUUUCUAAGAUGCAGCCAACUUUAAAAACCUCUGUCAAUUUACAUUUGACAGAGUUUGUUCCAGUUGUUGUUAUUUUUAUUUCUUUGCUUAUAGGCUGUCAUUGUACAGCACAAAAGUGCUACAUCUAUGCAGCUCAACCAACCUGUUUGUUUUUGCCUCCAGGUGUGAACCACCACAGUAUCUUCUGCAUCUUUGCUAGCUCAUCAGGAUCUAAACAAACAGGCCUGUUAUUUGUUUGUUGCUAAUGUUUUUCACGCAAAGGGUUCAGCUCAUAUUUGGAUCCUCCAUAAACACCUUAUGGACACUGCCAGGUUAGAAUUUGUUUAAAACAUCAGGCUGGUGAAAAGGGGCUUUUCUAUUAAAUAGAAUGAUUCUUUAUGUUUUAAUUUACAAAUCUUGACAGCACUACAUCAUUCACACUGUUUUCUAAGCAGUUAUUUAAUUUCUGGGACACAAUGGAAGCCUUUGAACAGAGAAAAGAAUGAAGAAGUCAAUAAAGUCAAGGUAAGGUUUAUAAAAGCAAAUAGGCAAACACUGAUGAACUUCUCUUCAACCACCACCAAACAAGCAAACAGCGUUUUUCUGUUAUUUUUGAUAGAGUUGUUUCCUGCACAACACUUCAUUUGUGGGCAGAAUCUUGACUUCAAGGAAACAAACAACAUAAGGCUGAGGAACAAGGACACAGCACAGUUUAUAGCAAGGGGCAGUCCUGUGAUGGACUGGUGACCUGUGCAGGGUGUACUCUGCCUCUCGCCAAUUGGAGAUAUACACAACCCCUCCCCCCCCUUGUGACUCUGCAAUGCCAUUGUGAGAAGCGCUGGAUUGAAAAGCAUUUCCUAUGAAGAGUUCAACUGCUGCACAGUUCCAUCAACAAUGCUCACCCCACUUCAGGUUCCACAGAACAACAAAAUGGAGAAUAAUGAUCAGAGAACAAGAAGGUCUGCUGGUGCUGGAGACUCUGUGAGAACUCUGACAGCUUCUCAUCUCUCUGCUCUCAGAGAUCUAUUAUCAGACAGAAAAAUCACAGUUCGCCUAAGCCUCCAUGUUUCUUUAAUUGGACAAAGUGAGAUUCUGGACUCCCAGAUGCUUCUUCUUCUCAAAGAGACCUGGCGUGAGUGGAUUAAAGGAUUAGAGUCAGGAAAACUCAGCAGGCUUUCAGGUCGAACAGCUUUUUGAUCUUGCAGGAAAGUGAAACAUUUCUGAGGAUGCUUUAACAAAAGCAGGUUAAAGUCUACAUUACGAUGACUGUCAUGUUUUGUGUGUCUCUUCUUUCCUUUGAGACCCCUGAUAUCUACAACAUAGGACAGAAGUCGGGACUCUUCACCAUGAGAGUUGUGAAAUUAAAGAAAGUGAGCGGCAGGAGAUUUCAUCAUCCACCAACAGCUGUCCCACAAGAUUAAAUAAUUUCACAGAAAUCCAUGUAAACAUAACUGGAAUCUUUUCCGUUGAUGUAGUGAGCCAGGAAGUGCUUAUGGCUGCUUUUGUAAUGUUUCAUUUACCUUUGUAGUCCCAGAUUAGAUCUAGUAAUAACAUAGAGCAUGUUUUAGUUCAAAGUUGAAAAACCAGUUGGAUUUGCUGAGUGAUUGAACUGCUUCCUAUUAGCUAUACUAGCUAAUAAAGACAUGGAGCCAUGACAUCUGUUCUUGUUGAUCGUCUAGGAAAACCUAGAGCUCUUCAUUCUUCACUCUGCUCAUAAACCAACACUGCCAAAGUCACCAAUACCUGGGGUUAUAACCAUAUAAUGACCACUAUUCCUGCCUGGCUAGUAAACUGAUUCAUCACUGGAGUGUUGUAAAGAGGACAAUGAGAAACCCCAGAACCAACAAUACAGAAGAGCUGAAGAUAAUGCCGGAGAAAGAGGGAGCCAGACUUUGUGGCCAAUCCAGUGUUGUUUCAGGCCUCAGGUGGGAGAAGUCACAAGGCAGACCAACAACAAAUCUUCGAACUGCAAACCAGAAGGCGAAGAUGGGAGCCCAGACGAAGGACUCCCUCUGAAAACUGGCGUCUUCUCUGCUGAACCUCAUGUGAAAGCUGCAGUGGACCACUGAUGUUCAUACAUGUGGCCAGCUGUAGACCUAUCACUGUGGACAUCCUCACUGUGGAAGUUCAACAAAAAAAAAACAUUAUGUCAUGUAACAGCCUGGUUAUUACAUGAUGCUGAAACCAUGACCACUGAGCCAACCAGACUUCUACCCUGAAAGAUGCUGCCUGACAACUUGUUCUUAAUAAAUAACCUCAAGAUGAUUUACUGUAUCUGUAUAGUUUUACUGUAACACCACAUUAACAGGGUAUUUGAUGAGAUCAACUGAGGUGUAAUACAUAAAUAAGCACAUGUUGAAAUGAGCAACAGAAUAGCUGGUUGUUGGUACAAUGAAGUCAGCUCUUAUUUUAACAGCCUGGAACCGAAGUGAGCUUUCUUCUUGAAGUCUUUUGUUUUUUACUUGAUACUUUAAUUUAAACACUUAAAUGAUGUACUUAAAUCUAUGUUAUUCCAUUUUUUUUUAAGUUUAAUUUGUUGCACUGUCUGAGGUGACGCUGUGAACCCAGAAGAGCUCCAUCUGUUGCACAGAAAAUAAAUGACCCAGACAUUUUAAAGGGCUCAUUUUUUAAAUGCUGUGAAGUAAUGUGAUUUUGUUUAUGCUUUUGCUUUUAUUUUAGUAGAACUUUGUGCCUUAGACAAAGUACUGUUUUAACUAUUGUUUAUCACAGGAACAAAAUGCAACUGUUUAAAGUUUAAGUAUUUAUUUAGAAUGUCAGUUUAACUGUCUUUAUGAAUAAAAACACUUUAACAUGGA